CCAUGCAAGCAUUCUGUAAGCUUUUGAGCACCUGUGGGAUUUCUCUGACCAUUGCAGAAGUUUGAACGUGGAAAAGCUACCACAUCACAAGCCCACCUUUGAUGUUUGUUCCCUGUUGCUUCUGACUGCAAAACUGCCCUGCUAUUUGAUCAUGGAGCUGAAGAAAUUUGUCCUGCCCUUCUUGUUCCUGCGCUGUUAAUAAUGGCUUCAGGUUUUCCUGCACAGCAAAGAGGCUGCUGGGCUUCCUCUGUGUUCUCUGUGCAAACGUUCAGAAGAGGAACCCUGCCUGUUUGUUCCACAUCCUUCAUCAACUGCCAUUGUUUGGAGCAGCCAUGGACAAAGGCUUAGAGAGUUAUAAAAAGAACACUCAAUGCAGGAGGCAAAACAUCUUUGUCAAAAUAUCUUGCCAAAGAGAGCUGGUUUGGUGUGUUUGUUUCCAUUGGGCACAAAACGUGGAGUUGGGAGAUUGAGCAGGAACAGCACACAUCAACCUCUUCCUCCUUAGUAACCACCUUUGAGGAAAAAUCCUCCUGAUCCCAUAGAAGAGUCACUGCAACAUGUGAAGCACCUGGAAAUCCUUGGCCAAACAGCAGCAGCAAGGUAGCAGAGAAGCAUUGUAGAGAUCCCACAGAGGUGGUUGUUGGAUGGGACCUCUGGAGAUUGUCUAGUCUAACCUCCUUGCUUUAAAGCAGGGACACUGAAUUCUGUGCGAGCAGUGGCCUGAGCAGUGAAGCUUUGAGAGGAAAAGCUCAGGAGAGUGUGUGCAGGAGC